CUGAUACAUUUCGAGCAGUGUGAAGAAUAGUGUGAAUCUGGCGUACUGCGAAGCAGUUUAAUAUCACACAGGCAAAUGUUCUUGGCAUUUAUAAUGUCUCAGUUUAAGGCAAGAAAACAACAACAACACCCUCUUGCCCUCCAUGGCACCAAUUCCAGCACUUUUUCCUGGAACUCUGAGAUCCUGUAAGUACUGAUGUGGAAACUGAACUCGCACAACUAAAACCAGGCAGCAAACCAGAAAUUUGAAGCGAUCAAACUUCCACACUCUGCCAAGAGAACCUCAAAAGGAAGCAGACAAGAUGGAUGAGGAGAGCUGCCGAGUUGAGGAUACAGAGAUGCAUUUUGCAACUGAA